UCUCUCUUCUUUUACUCUCGUAUCAUCGCUUCCCUCCUCUCUUACCUUCACCUUUCUAACUCGAGCCAUCGCGCCGCCAUGCCUCCGACGACAAUCGCGGCAGCUCUAAACACAAAACCAACGUAGAGAUGAUGAAUCUCCACAACGGCGAUGAAGAAGACGAUGGCGGCGACACCGCACCUAGGAAAUGGGUGGAAGGAGCCGGAUCUGAAAAGGGUCGAGUGGAAAUCCUAACGGAGAAUCUCCAAAAAAUCAAGGAUUCUGCGAUGUGAAGAGCGAAUCGAGCAACAAAAACCUUCAAUCGGCGGAAGUGACGGUGGUGAGCGGCAGUGGAAAGCUUUUAAGUGGCUAUGAUGAUGAAUCUGCAGAAGAUAAAGAGCGGUGAAGGUUCUGCGGUUUUAAGAUUCAGAGAAUGGUGAUGAAGAUCUUGCAGAGAAUAAGGAGAGUUUUCUCGGGUGAGAUUGUUGGAAACCGAUAUAGCAGCAGGACGGGGAGUCAUAGAUUGAAGCAAAGAUGGAUAGAAGUGAGCAUUGAUACACAGGUGAAAGAACUCAUAAAGGCUGUGAAUCACGGUUUAGAACAUGAAGAUUUUGAUAGUGACGGUGGCAUUCGUAGAACAAUGGUGUUUGCCAACACUGUUGAAGCUGCUGAAACUGUGGCAAAGAUAUUGAACUUUACUGGGCUUGAGUGUUUACGUUAUCAUAAGAAUUGCACAUUGGAAGAGCGAGCACAUACAUUAGUUGAUUUCCAUGAGAAAUUUGAUGUUCUUGUAUGUACUGAUGCAACUGCUCAUGGUGUGGAUAUUCCAAACGUCUUGCAUGUUAUUCAGUUAGUCGAAGAACAUCACCGAUUCGAAGAACAUCACCACAGCAGCAUCUGCUGUCGGCCACCAAUAAUCCCUCUUCUUUGUUUUGGUGGUGAAUCGGCAGCCAAUAAUUGCCAAAUACUUCAAUCAAGAGUUAAUAGAUUGCAAUUGGAUAAAUAUCAUAUUGAUCCGGAUAAGUGAAAAGCUACUCUUGUGAUAUUAAUUUUACUGUGAAGAACUUUGGGAAAUGGCCAAGCUGCAUGACCGCGAGGCAUCAUUUCCACUGGGUGGAGACGAAGAAGAUUGUGAUGAACAUAAGGAAGAAGCUUGUGAUGAUCAUGAAGAUGUGGAAGAAGGUUGUGCUGAAGAUGUGGAAGAAGCUGGUUGUGCCAAAGAUGUGGAAGAAGAACAAGGAGAAGAUCAAGAAGAAUAGUUGUGUUUUAUAUUAUCUAACUAGCUAGUUCUUAGAACUUUUUUUUGUUAUUUUGGGAUGACUCUUUUUUGAGAGAAACUUGUGUUGAAUUUAGCUCUUGUUUUGGAUCCCAUGGUUGUUUUGAAUUUUGAAUUUGGGAUGACAUCAAAACUUAGUAUCCAACUAUUAUUAGUGGCACUACAAAAAAAAACUUACUUUUGACCUUAA